AGCAAGCCGGGCGAGAGGCCGGCCUCAUGGGAGGGUGGAGCCUGUUAGAGGUGUUUCCCUGGCGGAACCCAACCGUUCAGGCCCGUCAGGAGAAAGGAGAGGGACUUGUUCUAGGACUCCAGGGUGUGCGGGGAGCCCAAGGGCAGCGGGACCUGCGGCUGGCUUCUAGAAGGGUCUGGAACCCGGAAGCUUUACCUAUGGAAGGUGUUCCUCUCCUUCUGAAGACCAGCUCACUCUGCUGCCCAGGCCACAGAGCAAGCGCCCCGCCUGGGACGACGUCUUGACCCAAAGAUGGGGCACAAUGGCUGCGAGGUGCUGGGAGAGGCUGAUGGAACAGCACUGGUGGUGGAGAGCAAGAUGCCUCAUUCUUCCCUUCCGGACUCUAUAGGGGAAGCGCCUAAUGAGCUUGGAGGCAGAGACGGGGUGAUGCAGCUACAAGCAAAGGACGGCACAGACUGGCAGCAGCUACCAGGAGGUGGGCCGGGCAGGAAGCGACCUCCUGGAAGCCCUCAGGAGGAGCCAGCCAGGCCUGCAGCUCAUUCUCAGACUCCAGCCUCCAGAACUAGGAGACAGGUGCUGUUGUUGCAGCCCCCCACUUUGUGGUAUGCGGUUAUGGUAGCACCAGCAAAUUAAUACAGAGGGUGAGUGGGAUGAAACCCCACGUGGCAGCUCGCUGGCCCCAAAGGGACCCUGAUUUAGAAGGG